AGCGUACACGGUGGAUGCCCUGGCAGUCAGAGGCGAUGAAGGACGUGCUAAUCUGCGAAAAGCGUCGGUAAGGUGAUAUGAACCGUUAUAACCGGCGAUGUCCGAAUGGGGAAACCCAGUGCAAUUCGUUACACUAUCGUUAACUGAAUACAUAGGUUAACGAGGCGAACCGGGGGAACUGAAACAUCUAAGUACCCCGAGGAAAAGAAAUCAACCGAGAUUCCCCCAGUAGCGGCGAGCGAACGGGGAGCAGCCCAGAGUCUGAAUCAGCUUGUGUGUUAGUGGAACGGUCUGGAAAGUCCGACGGUACAGGGUGAUAGUCCCGUACACCAAAAUGCACAGGUUGUGAACUCGAAGAGUAGGGCGGGACACGUGGUAUCCUGUCUGAAUAUGGGGGGACCAUCCUCCAAGGCUAAAUACUCCUGACUGACCGAUAGUGAACCAGUACCGUGAGGGAAAGGCGAAAAGAACCCCGGCGAGGGGAGUGAAAAAGAACCUGAAACCGUGUACGUACAAGCAGUGGGAGCACCUUCGGGUGUGACUGCGUACCUUUUGUAUAAUGGGUCAGCGACUUAUAUUCUGUAGCAAGGUUAACCGUAUAGGGGAGCCGCAGGGAAACCGAGUCUUAACUGGGCGUUAAGUUGCAGGGUAUAGACCCGAAACCCGGUGAUCUAGCCAUGGGCAGGUUGAAGGUUGGGUAACACUAACUGGAGGACCGAACCGACUAAUGUUGAAAAAUUAGCGGAUGACUUGUGGCUGGGGGUGAAAGGCCAAUCAAACCGGGAGAUAGCUGGUUCUCCCCGAAAGCUAUUUAGGUAGCGCCUCGUGAACUCAUCUUCGGGGGUAGAGCACUGUUUCGGCUAGGGGGUCAUCCCGACUUACCAACCCGAUGCAAACUACGAAUACCGAAGAAUGUUAUCACGGGAGACACACGGCGGGUGCUAACGUCCGUCGUGAAGAGGGAAACAACCCAGACCGCCAGCUAAGGUCCCAAAGUCAUGGUUAAGUGGGAAACGAUGUGGGAAGGCACAGACAGCCAGGAUGUUGGCUUAGAAGCAGCCAUCAUUUAAAGAAAGCGUAAUAGCUCACUGGUCGAGUCGGCCUGCGCGGAAGAUGUAACGGGGCUAAACCAUGCACCGAAGCUGCGGCAGCGACACUAUGUGUUGUUGGGUAGGGGAGCGUUCUGUAAGCCUGCGAAGGUGACCUGUGAGGGUUGCUGGAGGUAUCAGAAGUGCGAAUGCUGACAUAAGUAACGAUAAAGCGGGUGAAAAGCCCGCUCGCCGGAAGACCAAGGGUUCCUGUCCAACGUUAAUCGGGGCAGGGUGAGUCGACCCCUAAGGCGAGGCCGAAAGGCGUAGUCGAUGGGAAACAGGUUAAUAUUCCUGUACUUGGUGUUACUGCGAAGGGGGGACGGAGAAGGCUAUGUUAGCCGGGCGACGGUUGUCCCGGUUUAAGCAUGUAGGCUGGUUGUCCAGGCAAAUCCGGAUAAUCAAGGCUGAGGUGUGAUGACGAGGCACUACGGUGCUGAAGUAACAAAUGCCCUGCUUCCAGGAAAAGCCUCUAAGCAUCAGGUAACAUCAAAUCGUACCCCAAACCGACACAGGUGGUCAGGUAGAGAAUACCAAGGCGCUUGAGAGAACUCGGGUGAAGGAACUAGGCAAAAUGGUGCCGUAACUUCGGGAGAAGGCACGCUGAUAUGUAGGUGAAGCCCCUGCGGGUGGAGCUGAAAUCAGUCGAAGAUACCAGCUGGCUGCAACUGUUUAUUAAAAACACAGCACUGUGCAAACACGAAAGUGGACGUAUACGGUGUGACGCCUGCCCGGUGCCGGAAGGUUAAUUGAUGGGGUUAUCCGUAAGGAGAAGCUCUUGAUCGAAGCCCCGGUAAACGGCGGCCGUAACUAUAACGGUCCUAAGGUAGCGAAAUUCCUUGUCGGGUAAGUUCCGACCUGCACGAAUGGCGUAAUGAUGGCCAGGCUGUCUCCACCCGAGACUCAGUGAAAUUGAACUCGCUGUGAAGAUGCAGUGUACCCGCGGCAAGACGGAAAGACCCCGUGAACCUUUACUAUAGCUUGACACUGAACAUUGAGCCUUGAUGUGUAGGAUAGGUGGGAGGCUUUGAAGCGUGGACGCCAGUCUGCGUGGAGCCAACCUUGAAAUACCACCCUUUAAUGUUUGAUGUUCUAACGUUGGCCCCUGACCGGGGUUGCGGACAGUGUCUGGUGGGUAGUUUGACUGGGGCGGUCUCCUCCCAAAGCGUAACGGAGGAGCACGAAGGUUAGCUAAUCCUGGUCGGACAUCAGGAGGUUAGUGCAAUGGCAUAAGCUAGCUUGACUGCGAGCGUGACGGCGCGAGCAGGUGCGAAAGCAGGUCAUAGUGAUCCGGUGGUUCUGAAUGGAAGGGCCAUCGCUCAACGGAUAAAAGGUACUCCGGGGAUAACAGGCUGAUACCGCCCAAGAGUUCAUAUCGACGGCGGUGUUUGGCACCUCGAUGUCGGCUCAUCACAUCCUGGGGCUGAAGUAGGUCCCAAGGGUAUGGCUGUUCGCCAUUUAAAGUGGUACGCGAGCUGGGUUUAGAACGUCGUGAGACAGUUCGGUCCCUAUCUGCCGUGGGCGCUGGAGAAUUGAGGGGGGCUGCUCCUAGUACGAGAGGACCGGAGUGGACGCAUCACUGGUGUUCGGGUUGUCAUGCCAAUGGCACUGCCCGGUAGCUAAAUGCGGAAGAGAUAAGUGCUGAAAGCAUCUAAGCACGAAACUUGCCCCGAGAUGAGUUCU
rnacentral:rRNA from 1 species